CCUAGGGAGGCAGCAGUGAGGAAUAUUGGUCAAUGGGCGAGAGCCUGAACCAGCCAAGUCGCGUGAAGGAUGAAGGAUCUAUGGUUUGUAAACUUCUUUUAUAUGGGAAUAAAGUGAGGAACGUGUUCCUUUUUGUAUGUACCAUAUGAAUAAGCAUCGGCUAACUCCGUGCAAGCAGCCGCGGUAAUACGGAGGAUGCGAGCGUUAUCCGGAUUUAUUGGGUUUAAAGGGUGCGUAGGCGGGCUUUUAAGUCAGCGGUAAAAAUUCGGGGCUCAACCCCGUCCGGCCGUUGAAACUGGGGGCCGUGAGUGGGCGAGAAGAAGGCGGAAUGCGUGGUGUAGCGGUGAAAUGCAUAGAUAUCACGCAGAACCCCGAUUGCGAAGGCAGCCUUCCGGCGCCCUACUGACGCUGAGGCACGAAAGUGCGGGGAUCGAACAGGAUUAGAUACCCUAGUAGUC
rnacentral:rRNA from 1 species